CCUACGGGAGGCAGCAGUGAGGAAUAUUGGUCAAUGGACGAGAGUCUGAACCAGCCAAGUAGCGUGAAGGAUGACUGCCCUAUGGGUUGUAAACUUCUUUUAUAAAGGAAUAAAACGAGGCACGUGUGCCUUUUUGCAUGUACUUUAUGAAUAAGGAUCGGCUAACUCCGCGCCAGCAGCCGCGGUAAUACGGAGGAUCCGAGCGUUAUCCGGAUUUAGUGGGUUUAAAGGGAGAGGAGAUGGGUUGGUAAGUCCGUUGUGAAAGUUUGCGGCUCAACCGUAAAAGUGCAAUUGAUACUGGCAGUCUUGAGUACAGUUGAGGUAGGCGGAAUUCGUGGUGUAGCGGUGAAAUGCUUAGAUAGCACGAAGAACCCCGAUUGCGAAGGCAGCUUACUAAACUGUGACUGACGUUGAUGCUCGAAAGUGUGGGUAUCAAACAGGAUUAGAUACCCCAGUAGUC
rnacentral:rRNA from 1 species